GACGAACGCUGGCGGCGCGCUUAACACAUGCAAGUCGAGCGAGAACCUGGGCUUCGGCCCUGGGGACAGCGGCGAACGGGUGAGUAACACGUGGGUAAUCUGCCCUUGACAUCGGGAUAGCCCGGGGAAACCCGGAUUAAUACCGAAUAGCCUCCGGAGCCUUCGGGCGCCGGAGAAAAGGUAGCUUCGGCCUCUGGUCGAGGAUGAGCCCGCGGCGGAUUAGCUUGUUGGCGGGGUAACGGCCCACCAAGGCGACGAUCCGUAGCUGGUCUGAGAGGACGAUCAGCCACACUGGGACUGAGAACCGGCCCAGACUCCUACGGGAGGCAGCAGUGGGGAAUCUUGCGCCAAUGCGGGAAACCGUGACGCAGCGACGCCGCGUGGGGGAAGAAGGCCUUCGGGUUGUAAACCUCUUUCAGGAGGGACGAAGCCACUCGGGUGAAUAGCCCAGAGGGUGACGGUACCUCCAGAAGAAGCCCCGGCUAACUACGUGCCAGCAGCCGCCGUAA
rnacentral:rRNA from 1 species